rnacentral:lncRNA from 1 species
CUCUCUUUUUCUCUCAUUUUUUUGGUGGGCUCUUUGGCCUCUCUUUUUUUUGGUGGGCAUCUUUGGCCUCUUUUAUUUCCUCACAUGGGACAAUGCUCCAUCAAUGAUGAUCAUCACACUUACAACUCAAAACUUAGAGCAAUGAUGACUCUAUAUGGAAUGCCUUCGGUAGUGUACCGUGACAAUGAUCUAGCAUGGCAUAGACAUCAAUGGAAACAUCAUGCUAGCUAUCUUAGAUAAUGCAAUGGCAAUGUAGAAGUGGUGGAACAUGUCAUGGUGGUAGUUGCAUGGCAAUAUAUCUCGGAAUGGCUUUGAAAAAGCAAUAGUAGGUGGGUAUGGUGGCUGUUUUGAGGGAGGCUAAUGGUGGUUUUAUGCACCGGCGAAAGUUGCACGGCACUAAAAAAGAUAGUGAUGGUGGAAGGUGAAAGUGCAUCUAAACCAUGGACUCAACAUUAGUCAUGAAGAACUCAUAUACUUGUUGCAAAAGUUUUAGUAGUAAUCGAAACAAAGCAUUCAACGCAUACUCCUAGGGGAAGGGUUGGUAGGUAUAAACCAUCGCGCGAUCCCGACCGCUACACAAAGGAUGACAAUCAAUAAACUAAUCAUGCUCAGACUUCAUCACAUAGUGGUUCACCAUACGUGCAUGCUACGGGAAUCACUAACUUCAACACAAGUAUUUCUAGAUCCACAACACCUUACUAGUAUAACUUCAAUAUUAGCACAACCACAACUCAAAACUAAUUGAGAUGAAUCAAACUUCUCUAACUACUCAAUGCACAUGAAGGUGGAAGUUUUCAUAUCCCUUUGGAUAACUACUCCUUUUGAGACUACUUUCAUAGCAUAGAUCAACUACCAUGACUCGCACUGCCGUGCUCCAAAAGAUAGAAGUGAAGCACAUAGAGAAAAAUCAACUAGCUCAAGAGAUAUAAGUGAAACACAUGUGAGCUGAAUUGCCUAACCAAAGGAUAUAAAUGAAGCUCGACAAAAUCACGGUGAGUGCAUGUAUCUCUCUCUAGGUGUGCAGCAAGGAAGAUUGUGACACAACAAAAAUGAAAGACUCCUACGAUACAAGACGCUCCAAGCAAAACACAUAACAUGUGGUGAAUAAAAAUAUAGCCCCAAGUAGCAUUACCGAUGGAUUGAAGACGAAAGAGGGGAUGCCUUCCCGGGGUAUCCCCAAGCUUAGGCUUUCUCAGCAUCCUUGAAUCAACUUGGGGUGCCUUGGGCAUCCCCAAGCUUGAGCUCUUGCCACUCUUUAUCUCUUUGUUCAUAAGAACUUCACCCAAAACUUGAAAACUUCACAACACGAAACUUAAACAGAAACUCGUGAUAUCAUUAGUAUAAGAAAGCAAAUCACCACUUCCUUAGGUACUGUAGCAAACUUAAAUUCUACUUAUGUUGAUGUUGGGUUACUGUAUUUUCAAUCUUCCAUGGCUAAUACCCCCCGAUACUAUCCAUAGUUUCAUCAAAAUAAGCAACCAACUCAACAAAAACAGAAUCUGUUAACAGCAGACCAGUCUCUAGCAAUCUGUAUACUUAGUAUACUUCUGAUACUUCACAAAUUCCGAAAAAUUACGACAGUCUAUAGAAUUUGUGUAGCAAUCAUCAGCAAAAAGAAUCAACUCAAAAGCUCUCAUAGAAAAAAAAAGAAAUUUCUUUUCGUGAGCAGAAAGUUUCUGUCUUUUCCAGCAUGAUCAAACGAUCAUCCCCAAGACUAAUCAUAACGGUUUUACUUGGCACAAACGCAAAAGAAACACAAAAACACAAUCAUAAUAGAAUUAUGAAAGUUUGGAAAACACAAAACAGAAAGAAAAAGGGUAGAUUCGUUGGGUUGCCUCCCAACAAGCGCUAUUGUUUAACGCCCUUAGCUAGGCAUAAGGUGAUGGCAUCACUUAUAGUAUUCUUUGGUGCUCAAACCAUAAGUAGCCCUCAUCAUAGAUUCAUAAGGAAAUCUUAUUUUAUUUCUAGGAAAAUGCUCCAUGCCCUUAUUUAGAGGAAAUUGAAAUCUAAUAUUCCCUUCCUUCAUAUCGAUGAUAGCACCAAUAGUCCUUAGGAAAGGUCUACCAAGAAUAAUGGGACAUGAAGGAUUGCAAUCUAUGUUAAGUACAAUGAAAUCCACGGGUACAUAGUUCUUAUUUGCAACAAUAAGAACAUCAUUGAUCCUUCUCAUGGGUUCCUUGACAGUAGAAUCCUCAAGAUGCAAAUUAAGAGAACACUCUUCAAUCUCAUGAAAACCAAGAAUAUCACAUAAAGACUUUGGAAUCGCGGAAACACUAGCACCCAAAUCACACAAAGUAUUGCAUUCAUAGUUUUUGAUUUUGAUUUUGAUAGUAGGUUACCACUCAUCAUGAAGUUUUCUAGGUAUAGAGACUUCCAAUUCGAGUUUCUCUUCAAGAGAUUUCAUCAUAGCAUCUACGAUAUGUGCGGUAAAGGCUUUGCUUUGGCUAUAAGCAUGGGGAGAGUUUGCAAUGGGUUGCAUCAAGGAAAUGCAUUCAAACAAGGAUCAACUAUCAUAAUUGAAUCCCUUGAAAUCCAAAGUGGGAGUUUCAUUAUUACCCAAUAUUUUGAUUUCUUCUACUCCACUCUCCACACCUUUAUCAUCAAGAUAGGUGGACUCCGAAUCAUUGGGGCGUUUUUCAACCCAAGUGGAUUCAUAUCCAGCCCCUUCAUCAAUAGGUUUGACACGUGAAAACAAAGAUUCAAGAGGAGUCACACCAAGCACUUUAAGAUCCUCGUGAUCUGCAUCACAAAUUUCAGGUUUAGCUGCCAUCUUAUUGACUAAGGUAUCCUGCUUGUCAGAAAUUUGGCCCUCCAAUUUUUCAAGGUGAGCAAGCUGAGAAUUUAGUGCAAGGAAUUCUUUGGCCAUAUCAUCAACUUCUUUAUUCAAACAUGCCAUAAAAGAAUUUUGCUCUUUUAAUUCCCUGCGGAAGUAACUAUUUUGGUCAAACUGAGAAGACAUGAAACCUUUGACACCAGUUUCAAUUUCUUCCAAUCUUCUGAAAUAAUUUGGUUUGUCCAUGAGGAAAGGUAUCUCACGAACAAGCCCAAGAGCAAGCGAGAAAAACGGGCGGAAAAAGAAGGCAAAAAGGCAAAUGAAAACGGCAAAGGAGAAAGGCAAAUGAAAACGGCAAAUGUGAAGUGGGGGAGCGGAAAACGAGAGACAACUGGCAAAAAAGGUAAAUGCAAGAGAUGAGUUUGUGACCCUUACUUGGAUAGAUCUUGACUUGAUCUCUCCCCUUCAACGGCGCCGGAAAUGCUUCUGCUGCUGGCUACGCCUAUAGGGAUUUCCUUGGAAAAUAUGCAAAGGAUUCCCCCGCGGCCUUGGAGCCUUGCGUUGGUGUUCCCUUGAAGAGGAAAGGGUGAUGUAGCACAGCGACGGUAAGUAUUUCCCUCAGUUUGAGAACCAAGGUAUCAAUCCAGUAGGAGGAUCGCGUCAAGUCACAAGUACCUCCACAAACACAAAGAGCUUGCACCCAACGCUAUGAAGGGGUUGUCAAUCCCUUAUAGAUUGUUUGCAAAGUGAGAACUGAAAGCAAAAAAGUAAACAAAGCAAAGUAAAAGUAAAAGCGGAGAUGAUAAUUGUGAGUAGACCCGGGGGUCGUAGUGUUCACUAGUGGCUUCUCUCAUGAAAGCAAGUAGACGGUGGGUGAACGAAUUACUGUCGAGCAAUUGAUAGAACCACGCAAGGUCAUGACAUUAUCUAUGGCAAUGAUUAUACAUAUAGGCAUCUUGUCCAAAACAAGUAGACCGAUACUUUCAGCAUCUACUACUAUUACUCCACAUGUCGACCGCUAUCCAGCAUGCAUCUAGUGUAUUGAGUUCAUAAGAACAGAGUAACGCCUUAAGCAAGAUGACAUGAUGUAGAUGGACAAUCUCAAAUCUAUGAUGAAAGCCCAUCUUGUUACCCUUGAUGGCAACAACACGAUGCGUGCCUUGCCGCCCCUUCUGUCACUGGGAAAGGUCGCCGCACGGUAUGAACCCAAAACCAAGCACUUCUCCCAUGGCAAGAAUCAUAGAUCUAGUUGGCCAAACAAAACCCAAGACUCGGAGAGACUUACAAGGAUAUCAAAUCAUGCAUACAAGAAAUCAGCAAAGACUCAAAUAUAAUUCAUAGAUAAUCUGAUCAUAAAUCCACAAUUCAUCGGAUCUCGACAAAGACACCGUCAAAGAGGAUUACAUCGGAUAGAUAUCCAUGAAGAUCAUGGAGAACGUUGUAUUGAAGAUCCAAGAGAGAGAAGAAGCCAUCUAGUUACUAACUAUGGACCCGUAGGUCUGAAGUAGACUACUCACGAGUCAUUGGAGGUGCAAUGAUGUUGAUGUAGAAGCCCUCCAGCUCCAAAGUCCCCUCCGGCAGGGCACCGGGAAGGGUCUCCAGAUGAGAUCUCGCGGAAACGGAAGCUUGCGGUGGCGGAAAAGUGGUUUCGUGGACGCCCUUAUUUUUCUGGGAUUUUAGGGAAUAUAUAGGCCAAAGAGCUAGGGCAGGGGAGCUCCAGGGACGCCACAAGCCUGGUAGCCGCGGGCCCCCCUGGCCAGGGCUACAAGGCUUGUGGGCUCCCUGUGGGCCUCCUGCCUUGGACCUCAAGUCUCCCGAUCUUCUUCUGUUCUGGAAAAAUUCAUUUCGGGGAUUUUAUUCCGUUUGGACUCCGUUCCAAAAUCAGAUCUGAAAAGAGUCAAAAACACAGAAAAAACAGGAACUGGCACUUGGCACUGAAUUAAUAAGUUAGUCCCAAAAAAGAUAUAAAAGGUAUAUGAAACAUCCAAAGUUGACAAGAUAACAACAUGAAACCGUCAAAAAUUAUAGAUACUUUUGAGACGUAUCAGGAAGCAUUAAGAAACGCGGUUUAUAUAGUCGAACGUCUUCGCGAUCCAAAUCGCAAGCUGUCCCGCGUUCCAAUCACGAUCUAGCAUCGAACGAACGGCACCUCUGCGUUCAGCACACGUACAACUCGAUGAUGAUCUCCGCCUUCUUGAUCCAUCAAGAGGGGCGAAGAGGGAGAUGAGUUCUCCGACAACAUGACGACAUGGUGGUGGUGAACUAAUCGAGCAGGGCUUAACCAAGCUAUGCCAGACUAAUCUAGACGAGGGAGACAAACUAUGGACGAGAGGGCAGCACGUGGCUUUUCUCGUGCGUGUUGCCCUCAAAACCUCCACUAUAUAUAGGAAGAAGGGGAGGGAGGUCUGCCUUGUCCCGUCCUCCAAGGAGGAGAGGUUCGACCGAAGCUAGGGGGAGAGUCCUCCUCCAAUACGGUUUGGUGUUGGACUCCCCUUUGUAGUUGGUCUCCUCCUUCCAUGUUUCCCUCUUUUGCACUUCGGCCCAAUAGGAUUAUUGGGCUGGCUGCCCGGCACCAACUAUAAGCCUAUUUGGCCCCCCUCCGGGUGGGUGGCCCCUCCCGGUGAAACCCCGGAACCCAUUCGUCACUCCCGGUACUUUAUAGGUAAUGCCCGAAAUCUUUCCGAAAGCCAAAUACACCUGUCCUAUAUAUCAAUCUUUACCUCCGGACCAUUACAGAGCUCCUCGUGAUGUCCGUGAUCUCAUCCGGGACUCCGAACAACUUUCGGUCACCAACAUUGAUAACUCAAUAAUACCGAGACGUCACUGAACCUUAAGUGUGCAGACCCUGCGGGUUCGACAACUAUGCAUACAUGACCGAGACACCCUUCGGUCAAUAACAAAUAGCAGGACAUGGCACUACAAGAAAUAUGCUCAUACAUGACGUUUUUUAAGACGUCGUUGAUGAAUUCGUCAUAAAUCUAUGACGAUUUCAUCCGAGAUUGGUGUAAGACGUUUGAGGGGAUCAAACCUACAUAUAAAUUACGAUGAUGUGAGUCAAAAACGUCGUAACCGCAUAAGAUGAGAUCGUCAUAACUUUUACGACGAUUAUAAAAAUGUCGUAACGUGUUCUAACUAUGUUGACAUGUCACUCGUGGGUCCAUUCUAUCCCAUCUCAUCCUAGUUUGUGAAUCAACCUACUAUUCUGUCAUUCCAAAAAUUCUCGAAGAAUUCUCAUAAAUACUUUGGAUCAUAUAUUCCUCAAAUAUGUGAAAACCCUUCCUUCCAUAGUUCAAAAAUAAUUCAGCAAUAUUCAUUUUCCUAUUCUAUUCAGAAUAGCACUUUGUGAAGGAAGUGCUAUUUCUAUUUCUUUGAUUAUCCUCGUAUUUUUUGGGCACUCUUUCCUAUCCAAAUAAUUGCCUCAUGAAAACUUUUGUAACGAUUUUCUUAGUAAAUCUUUCUCAGCAAAUUUCCAAAGUUUGUGUUCACCUAACAAUUUUGUGAAGGAAGUAGUAGAUAAGAAUAUCCUUAUGAGUUGAAUUUUUUCCACAUAUUCUAUGUGCCCAAAACAUAGCUCUGUUGGGGAACGUCGCCUGGGAAACAAAAGUUUUCCUACGCGCACGAAGACCUAUCAUGGUGAUGUCCAUCUACGAGAGGGGAUGAGUGAUCUACGUACCCUUGUAGACCGUACAGCAGAAGCGUUAGAGAACGCGGUUGAUGUAGUGGAACGUCCUCACGUCCCUCGAUCCGCCCCGCGAACAAUCCCGCGAUCAGUCCCANNNNNNNNNNNNNNNNNNNNNNNNNNNNNNNNNNNNNNNNNNNNNNNNNNNNNNNNNNNNNNNNNNNNNNNNNNNNNNNNNNNNNNNNNNNNNNNNNNNNCGGUCAGGGGCCCACGCGGCAGUGAGGGAGAGAGAGGGGACUCGGGAAACAGUAGCCGAUCCGAAGGGAUUUCGGCCGGGGACUGAGGGAUCUCGGCCGAUCCUAAUCCACGCUCGCUGGCGCUUUCCAAAAGAAAAGAGAUUUUUUCCAUUUUUUCAAAAACAGGAAAUAAAACAAUUAAAUGGGCAGGUAAAUAAAAUCCAAAAAUAGGGGUAUUAUAUACCAAAAUGAUCAGAAAAAUAUUCUCUACUCGAUUAACAUUUUUCCAAGGUAAAAAUAAAAGCUUUAAAAAAAUGUAUUUUCAGAAAAAAUCCCUUAUGCUAUAUUUUCUUUUUGCAAUUAUUUUUACAAUAAAACUUUGGUUUUCUUGGCUCAAAAUAUUUCAGAAAUGCCUCACAUUUUGGAGGGUCAUUUUCCUCCGCUCUCUCUUGCGUGCAAGAGAUUAUUUCCCGGCAUUUCUCGUGUGAAGAAAAAAAAAUAGAAAUGCAAAAGCAAAGGUCGAAAGAAUUCAAAUGCAAACUUUAUUUCAAUCAAUAUGCAUAGAUGCUUAGCNNNNNNNNNNNNNNNNNNNNNNNNNNNNNNNNNNNNNNNNNNNNNNNNNNNNNNNNNNNNNNNNNNNNNNNNNNNNNNNNNNNNNNNNNNNNNNNNNNNNAAAUUCGACCAUGUUCUUGAUCUUCAGAUAGCAGAGUCUGACACCCUCUUCCUUCUUCCUCCUCUCCCUGCUCCGCCACCCCCUGCCGCAUGGCGCUCGCGCGAACCGUCCCGCUCCCGCAGCUCGCCUCGGCCUCGCCCCUACCCCGGCACCGCAGCUGCCGCCUCCUCCUCCCCGCAAUGCCGAAGGAGCGCGGGCUCCCCGCGCGAGGGAUCGCCUGCCGCGCCGCGACGACGACGCCGGCCGCGGUGGCGGCGGUGGGUGUCGGGAGGACCUGGCCCCGGAGGGGUACGAGSCAGAUGAUGCCGACCGUGGAUGCCUCCCAGCGGCGGCGCGCAGGGGUUCUGCUGCACCCGACGUCGCUCCGCGGCCCGCACGGCAUCGGCGACCUCGGCGACCAGGCGCUCGCGUUCCUCGACUGGCUCCACGGCGCCGGGUGCACGCUCUGGCAGGUGAUUACUGUCACGCAUUGCCCUUGGCGUUACCAAACUGCUGGCCUGUUAGGUGCCAUUGGCGUGCAACAGUGAACACUCGCUCAUCGAUUUCCUUUUUCUGGUGUGGAUUUGGGUUGUCACUUGUCACAUAUAGGGACGAUAGAAACACUAGACUGUUUAGAAAUUUGAUUGACGAAUCACAAAUAAGAUGGAGGGGUUCAACCAUUUCUACUGUGGUUACAAACAUACUACAUUGUGGUACAGUUUAAAAUUCCUGCUGCAAGUUGCAAUGCUGAUUGAUUUUCUUAAUAUUCUCUGCACUGCGAUAAACGGUGAUGGUGUGUGAAACCUUGAUGGGGCUGUAUGAUGAAAUAAGCUGAAGGACAUGAAACAACACAAAAGCAAUUUCUCUCUGUUCUCUCUGACCAUUAAAAUUAAUUCAGUGAUUUUGUUGCGUCCUUUCCGCCAGAAAAAAAACGCGUCAUGUCCUCUCUGUUUAAUGUGCA